rnacentral:tRNA from 1 species
GCCUCCGUGGCGCAAUCGGCUAGCGCGUUCGGCUGUUAACCGAAAGGUUGGUGGUUCGAGCCCACCCGGAAGCG